UAGGCUCCCCCCGAAGCUGCUACAUGCCUACCAACAACUCUGCAACGCUCUCCAUCCGAGCAGAGGAGCGAAGCUGAUCAGCUGCGAGCUCUCCAGUGAUCCAUGGAUGGAGCUAGUUCUUGGGCUUCGGAUUAGCGGACUCCAGGUAAUCGGAGUCAUGACCAAUUGUGCUUCGCAUGGUUUACGAGGAAGAAGCAGAGAAAAAGGGUAGGAAGAACUAACCAUGUGCAUGGCUUCCUUGUUCGUGAAGAGGAAUGAACAAUGAACCCAUGAAUGCGAAACCAAAGUUUCAGAAUCCGGCAUACGUGCAAGCAAGCUUGGCCUGCCGAUUGACGCAAUCGCGGCUAUUAGCUUGAUCCCGGCCACUCCGCCCAUAUUUGCGAGUAGCGACUUAGAUCUGCAGCUUGGUCAUCGGCGGAAGAUCCGACCCGGCAGUUGGACACAUCGGCAUGCCGCAUGCAGCAGCGCCACCGCUAGCACCGGAGCACGAGCCUCUCGCCGCCGCAUGGCGUCGAGGCUGUGCAUGCCGUGCGAUCGAUCACCGAUGAGAUCAGACUAUCAGAGGUGCGGAAACUGCAAGUGCAACCCCGCCGUGCCAUCGACGCAGGGAGGGAGGAUCGUGUCGAUACCUCCCGCGAUCCACUUGGCGGAGAAAUUAAACACGUCGUGGAAGAAAAAACCACCCGCGGGCACCACGCGGUCCUUCGUGCCGAAGUUUUGGAGUGGUAGGGCCGGAGGGGGAGAGGGGGUCCAAUGCAAGUUACCGCUCUUCCUCGAGGAAGCUGCUAAUUGCAUGUUACUAGUGCUUACGCAGUCUGAACUCUUUAAAAAAAAAUCUGAUAGUAGCUAGCGAUGGAGACUUAUCUUGCAACAACCAGCAAUAAUCCAUGUGGGACGAGCGGAAUCAUAAACCCGAAAGAGAUGAACAUAUAUACAUGCAUGCUGGUAUAAAACUCAUCAGUGCAAAAAGGAUGAUCAGAUGAAGCCUUCCUUUUU